CACGAACGCUGGCGGCAGGCUUAACACAUGCAAGUCGAGCGCCCCGCAAGGGGAGCGGCAGACGGGUGAGUAACGCGUGGGAAUCUACCCAUCUCUACGGAAUAACGCAUGGAAACGUAUGCUAAUACCGUAUACGUCCUUCGGGAGAAAGAUUUAUCGGAGAUGGAUGAGUCCGCGUUGGAUUAGCUAGUUGGUGGGGUAAAGGCCUACCAAGGCGACGAUCCAUAGCUGGUCUGAGAGGAUGAUCAGCCACACUGGGACUGAGACACGGCCCAGACUCCUACGGGAGGCAGCAGUGGGGAAUAUUGGACAAUGGGCGCAAGCCUGAUCCAGCCAUGCCGCGUGAGUGAUGAAGGCCCUAGGGUUGUAAAGCUCUUUCACCGGUGAAGAUAAUGACGGUAACCGGAGAAGAAGCCCCGGCUAACUUCGUGCCAGCCGCCGCAGUAAGAC
rnacentral:rRNA from 1 species